UACGUAUGGUGCAAGCGUUAUCCGGAUUUACUGGGUGUAAAGGGAGCGCAGGCGGCGCGCCAAGUCUGAUGUGAAAGCCCGGGGCUCAACCCCGGGACUGCAUUGGAAACUGGUGAGCUAGAGUGUCGGAGAGGUAAGUGGAAUUCCUAGUGUAGCGGUGAAAUGCGUAGAUAUUAGGAGGAACACCAGUGGCGAAGGCGGCUUACUGGACGACAACUGACGCUGAGGCUCGAAAGCGUGGGGAGCAAAC
rnacentral:rRNA from 1 species